GAUAGACUAAAAAGUAUAAUUCAUUACUCUUUCUUACCAUUACUUGAAAUUAACAGGUCUAUAUACUACCAUGUCUAAUUACGAUAAAUACACAAGAAGUCCUUUACAUCACAGUGAAAUCUCUAUUAAGCCUCAAAACCUUUUUUAAUUUCUCAAUCAAACCCUUGCACUUUCAAAAUAGGUUCAUACUUCAAAGUAGUCUAAAAUGAAUCCACCUGUGCCACAUGCACCACACUACCAGGCCGCAUGAACAUGUUAAUUCAUGAAGCAUUUUCAAAAAAUUCAACGACUUAGCUGGGAAGAAAGAAGUCUGAGGACUUCAUUGAAAAAUCACUAUCCCUAAAUAAUUUCAGUCCUUUAAUUUUCAAAGCCGUUUCAAAAUCAUUGUAUAGGCAUAUUAGUUCAGAAAGACUACAACAUGUACCUAGCACCUAAAGGCGGACUCCAAAAUGUAUUUUGCGCUAUGAUUAACAUAAAGCUAUCAGUUAAACACUAAAAAUUUUGCUUUAAGAUAGCAUCUUCAAG
rnacentral:misc_RNA from 1 species